AGUGAAGCCAAGGCCAGGGGGCUGUGGAGGUAGGACCAGGAAACCGGAAAGCCAGAGAACCAACCCGGGUGUUCUGAGAGCAACUUUGGGACUACUCAACACUGACCUUUGGUGGAAGGAGUGCCCAUGGGGUAUUCUCAUCGAAAGUUCAAUCACUUAUGUGCCAACAAAUUUAAAUAUCACUGGUUACCUUCCGAUAUCCUGGUACACCCAAAGGGCAGGAAUUGACCUAUAAAUUCUGGAUGGUGAGGCAACCUUGUUGGCCCUUGGCAUGGUGGCUGUCCGAGGAUUGCACUGCAUGGUAGAAGCUGGCCAGGUGCCCAUGGACAUCAUCUUUUAACAAUUUAUAAGUGAUAUUUUAAAAUGAAGAACUUGUUCUGAUGUCUAUACUAAUGAACUCUUUGAGUAGGGGGAAAGGAGCUUCCUUAGAUUUUAAAUUUGUAAUAAAGGCAUUUUAAAAAGAAAA